AAGGUAGCAUAAUCAUUUGCCUUUUAAUUGGAGGCUUGUAUGAACGGACACACGAGAGCUCAUCUUUUCUCUGUGAGACAUAAAAAUUAUCCUUCAAGUGAAGAGACUUGAAUAAUAUAAAAAGACGAAAAGACCCUGUGGAGCUUUACUUAAAUUAUUAGCAAACAAAGUAAAGAAAUCCUUUCUCUAUAAAAAAAAGUUUAGUUGGGGCGACUGAGGAGCACACAUUAACCUCCUCCUAAAAAAAGAUAUUAAAUCUCCAAAAAAUCCAUACACAUGAAUAAAAAUCUAGCUACCCCAGGGAUAACAGGCUAAUCCUCCUCGAGAGCCCAAAUUGACAGGAGGGCUUGGCACCUCGAUGUUGGCUUAAGGUUCCCUCUAAGUGCAGCAGCUUAGAUAGUAGGUUUGUUCAACCUUUAAAACCUUACGUGAUC
rnacentral:rRNA from 1 species